AUUGAACGCUGGCGGCAGGCCUAACACAUGCAAGUCGAACGAGUGGCGGACGGGUGAGUAAUGUCUGGGAAACUGCCUGAUGGAGGGGGAUAACUACUGGAAACGGUAGCUAAUACCGCAUACCAGCGGAUCUGCCCAGAUGGGAUUAGCUAGUAGGUGGGGUAAAGGCUCACCUAGGCGACGAUCCCGAGCUGGUCUGCGAGGCUGACCAGCCCCACUAGGACUGAGACACGGUCCAGCCUCGUACGGGAGGCAGCAGUGGGGAAUAUUGCACAAUGGGCGCAAUCUGGAUACAGCCAUGCCGCGUGUAUGAAGAAGGCCUUCGGGUUGUAAAGUACUUUCAGCGGGGAGGCGUUACCCGCAGAAGAAGCACCGGCUAACUCCGUGCCAGCAGCCGCGGUAAUAC
rnacentral:rRNA from 1 species